UAGGGAAUCUUCGGCAAUGGGGGGAACCCUGACCGAGCAACGCCGCGUGAGUGAAGAAGGUUUUCGGAUCGUAAAGCUCUUUUGUCAAGGAAGAACGAGUGUGAGAAUGGAAAGUUCAUACUGUGACGGUACUUAACCAGAAAGCGACGGCUAACUACGUGCCAGCAGCCGCGGCAAUACGUAGUUCCCGUGCGUUGUCCGGAUUUAUUGGGCGUAAAGCGAGCGCAGGCGGUUAGAAAGGUCUGAAGUGAAAGGGAGUGGCUCACGAAUUGUAGGCUUUGGAAACUGUUUAACUUGAGUGCAGAAGGGGAGGGAGGAAUUCCAUGUGUAGCGGUGAAAUGCGUAGAUAUAUGGAAGAACACCGGUGGCGAAAGCGGCUCUCUGGUCUGUAACUGACGCUGAGGCUCGAAAGCGUGGGGAGCGAACAGG
rnacentral:rRNA from 1 species